rnacentral:rRNA from 1 species
UACGUAGGGCGCAAGCGUUGUCCGGAAUUAUUGGGCGUAAAGAGCUCGUAGGCGGCUUGUCACGUCGAUUGUGAAAGCCCAAGGCUUAACCUCGGGUCUGCAGUCGAUACGGGCUAGCUAGAGUGUGGUAGGGGAGAUCGGAAUUCCUGGUGUAGCGGUGAAAUGCGCAGAUAUCAGGAGGAACACCGGUGGCGAAGGCGGAUCUCUGGGCCAUUACUGACGCUGAGGAGCGAAAGCGUGGGGGAGCGAACAGG